rnacentral:rRNA from 1 species
GACGAACGCUGGCGGCGUGCUUAACACAUGCAAGUCGAACGGAAAGGCCCUGCUUUUGUGGGGUGCUCGAGUGGCGAACGGGUGAGUAACACGUGAGUAACCUGCCCUUGACUUUGGGAUAACUUCAGGAAACUGGGGCUCAUACCCGAUAGGAGCUCCUGCUGCAUGUGGGGGGUUGGAGAGUUUCGGCGGUUGGGGAUGGACUCGCGGCUUAUCAGCUUGUUGGUGGGGUAGUGGCUUACCAGGGCUUUGACGGGUAGCCGGCCUGGGAGGGUGACCGGCCACAUUGGGACUGAGAUACGGCGCAGACGCCUACGGGAGGCAGCAGUGGGGAAUAUUGCACAAUGGGCGGAAGCCUGAUGCAGCAACGCCGCGUGCGGGAUGACGGCCUUCGGGGUGUAAACCGCUUUCGCCUGUGACGAAGCGUGAGUGACGGUAAUGGGUAAAGAAGCACCGGCUAACUACGUG